ACACAUCCUCGCAGGAAACAAAUACCAGCUCCACAGGAGUGGCUAAAAGAGAGGCUCAAGGGCACAGAAAGGAGAGAAGCUUUCCAGGGAUGAAGUUACUACUGUUACCAUCAUUGACUACAAAUGAAGAGAUAGGCUGAGAGCCUACUCACUGCGAGUGGAUGAAGACCUUUAGGAUGACCCACUUCCACUUCAUCAGUAGAGCGAAUCUUUGGUCCCCGCCCUGUCCCUCCUGCUGGAGAUGCUGCAUACAAGGGCAUGAUGUCUGGAGUUCGAGCAUGCAUGUGGCCACCAUGAGGCAAGAAGCAAUGACGACACAAUUUCACUGGGUGGAAGAAUGACAAAGUCUGGAUUCUUGAUGAUACUGUUGCCGUCUGAAGUUGCCUUGGGACCGUAUAUUUCUGGGCAUCUGGUUACGUGAGCAGUACAUAUUCUUCUGGUUAAGACCAA